UACGAAGGGGGCUAGCGUUGCUCGGAAUGACUGGGCGUAAAGGGCGCGUAGGCGGUUUGUACAGUCAGACGUGAAAUUCCUGGGCUUAACCUGGGGGCUGCGUUUGAUACGUGCAGGCUUGAGUAUGGAAGAGGGUCGUGGAAUUCCCAGUGUAGAGGUGAAAUUCGUAGAUAUUGGGAAGAACACCGGUGGCGAAGGCGGCGACCUGGUCCAUUACUGACGCUGAGGCGCGAAAGCGUGGGGAGCAAACAGG
rnacentral:rRNA from 1 species